rnacentral:rRNA from 1 species
UACGAGUGCCCCAAGCGUUAUCCGGAAUCAUUGGGCGUAAAGGGUGUGUAGGCGGUUGUGUUAGUCUUUUGUUAAAUUCUUCGGCUUAACCGGGGACAUGCGAAGGAAACGGCACAACUAGAGGAUGCGAGAGGUGAAUGGAACUCAUGGAGUAGGGGUGAAAUCCGGUUGAUAUCAUGGGGAACACCAAAAGCGAAGGCAAUUCAACUGGCGCACUCCUGACGCUGAGACACGAAACGUAGGUAGCGAA